CCUACGGGAGGCAGCAGUGGGGAAUUUUGGACAAUGGGGGCAACCCUGAUCCAGCCAUGCCGCGUGAGUGAAGAAGGCCUUCGGGUUGUAAAGCUCUUUCGGCCGGGAAGAAAUCGCAUGGGUGAAUACCCUGUGUGGAUGACGGUACCGGAACAAGAAGCACCGGCUAACUACGUGCCAGCAGCCGCGGUAAUACGUAGGGUGCGAGCGUUAAUCGGAAUUACUGGGCGUAAAGCGUGCGCAGGCGGUUUGGUAAGACAGGCGUGAAAUCCCCGGGCUUAACCUGGGAACUGCGCUUGUGACUGCCAGGCUAGAGUACGGCAGAGGGGGGUGGAAUUCCACGUGUAGCAGUGAAAUGCGUAGAGAUGUGGAGGAACACCAAUGGCGAAGGCAGCCCCCUGGGUCGAUACUGACGCUCAUGCACGAAAGCGUGGGUAGCAAACAGGAUUAGAUACCCUGGUAGUCCACGCCCUAAACGAUGUCAACUAGGUGUUGGGUGGGUAAAACCAUUUAGUACCGUAGCUAACGCGUGAAGUUGACCGCCUGGGGAGUACGGCCGCAAGGUUAAAACUCAAAGGAAUUGACGG
rnacentral:rRNA from 1 species